UCCAUUUGAAGAUAUAAAGGUCUAGCCUGCCCGUUGAUUAUAAAAGUUGAAAGGCCGCAGUAUUAUGACUGUGCAAAGGUAGCAUAAUCAUUAGGUUUUUAAAAGGGAUCUUGUAUGAAUGGUUGGACGAAGAUGAAGGCUGUCUUUAAUUUAAAAAUUGAAAUUUACUUUUAAGUGAGAAGGCUUAAAUUUCCUAAGGGGACGAGAAGACCCUAUAAAGCUUUACAUUAAGGUAGUAUUUAAUUAAAUUUAUGAAAUAUAAAGAUUUUAUAUAAUUAUUUAUUAUGUUGGGGAGAUAUAAGUAUAAGUUUAAAUAACUGCUGGUUUUAAAACAAAAUGAUUGAUGAAGUAAGAGAUCCUGUGUGCGUAUAGAUUAAAAGAUUAAGUUACUUUAGGGAUAACAGUAUAAUUUUUUUUAAGAGUUCUUAUUGAAAAAGAAGUUUAUAACCUCGAUGUUGAAUUAAGAGAUCUAUAUGAUGUAGAUGUUAUAUUAGAAGGUCUGUUCGACCUUUAAUUU
rnacentral:rRNA from 1 species